AGAGUAUAAGUUCCCAACUUCCCGUUGCCAGCGUCACUUUCUAAGCCGGCCAGCAGCGAGUCUCCACGUCUCAUCUUUCAUCUCAUUCUCUGCUGUGUCUCAGCUUCUCCAAAAUGAGCUACAGAAAAUCCACCAUUCAGCAGAUACCUUCUUCCCACAUCUCCUUCACCCGCUCUGCACCCCAGCAGCGUGCUGCCAGCACUUAUGGCGGUGCUGGUGGAUCUGGGGUCCGCAUUUCAUCUGUCUCCACAUCUUCUCUGCGGCCUGGUGCCCCCUCCUCCUCUGCCUCUUCCUUCAGGGUGAGUGGAAUGGGUGGUGGUAUAGGCUCAGGUUUUGGUGCGUCAAUGGCAAAUGGUGGUGGUGCUGGUGCUGGGAUCAUGGGCAAUGAGAGGGGAGCCAUGCAGAACCUCAACGACCGCCUGGCCAACUACCUGGCGACGGUGAGGAACCUGGAACAGGCCAAUAAGGAGCUGGAGAUUAAGAUCAAGGAGGCUCUGGAGAGGGGAGGGCCCGACAUGAGAGACUACAGCAAGUAUGAACCCAUCAUAGAAGACCUGCGAAAACAGAUCUUUGACAAGAUUGUGGACAAUGCUCGUUUUGUGCUCCAGAUUGACAAUGCCCGUCUUGCUGCUGAUGACUUCAAAGUAAAGUACGACAAUGAGAUGGCAAUCCGCCAGUCUGUGGAGGCUGACAUUGCUGGGCUGAAGAGAGUCAUAGAUGACACCAACAUGACCAGGAUGAACAUCGAGAGUGAGAUUGAAGCUGUGAAGGAGGAGCUUGCCUUCCUCAAGAGGAACCAUGAGAAUGAGGUGAUGGAGCUGAGGAAUCAGAUCUCCCAGUCAGGCGUGCAAGUGGACGUUGAUGCUCCCAAAGGUCAGGAUCUGGCCCAGAUCAUGGAGGACGUGAGAGGAAACUACGAGAAGAUAGCCAUGAAGAACGCAGAGGACCUGAAACGGUGGCAUGAGAAUCAGAUUGCGGAUGUGCAGGUCGAGGUAUCACAGAACACAGAAGCUCUCCAGGGAGCCCAGAUGGAGAGGGGUGACUUAUCCCGACAGAUACAGACUCUGGAAAUUGAACUUGCAUCUCAACAGAGCUUAAAAGCCUCCCUUGAGGACACAUUACGCAACACAGAGCAGCGAAACAACAUGGAAAUGGAGAAGUACAACAACCUGAUUAUCUGCCUGGAAGAGGAGCUGACCAAGUUGCGCGCAAACAUCCAGCAACAGACCCAAGACUACCAGACGCUGCUCAACAUGAAGAUGAAACUUGAGGCUGAGAUCGCCACUUACAAGGGUCUGCUGGAUGGUGGUGACUUCAAGUAAGGGUUAGGUGGAGGAGAAAAAAAAACAGAUCCAAGCAAGGUGGUGGUGGUGGUGGUGGAGGCUCCAGGAUGCACUGGAUGAGCUGGCCGCAACGAGCUAAUUUGGAAAAAAGAAUCUGGGACCAUCCCAACAACGAAAGCAGAGAAACCCACAACUAUUCAUUAUGGAAAAAAAUCCAUGCUGGCCCAAUUAACUAAAGCCAAAUUUGAUCCAAGAUCACAUACUGUGCAACCAUAAUUGAUUUAAGCAAUACUGAAUAAAGGCAUUCAGCCACAGCGCAGAGAAUCAGGCAGGGCUAUUUGAAAUAAAACCAUUGGCUGACCUAAUAUCAAAAUAAAAAUGAAUAAAAAAACACUUGUUGACCCACA